UGGGGAAUAUUGCACAAUGGAGGGAACUCUGAUGCAGCGACGCCGCGUGAACGAAGAAGGCUUUCGAGUCGUAAAGUUCUUUUAUAUGGGAAGAUAAUGACGGUACCAUAAGAAAAAGCCCCGGCUAACUACGUGCCAGCAGCCGCGGUAAUACGUAGGGGGCUAGCGUUGUCCGGAAUCACUGGGCGUAAAGGGUUCGCAGGCGGAAAUGCAAGUCAGGUGUAAAAGGCAGUAGCUUAACUACUGUAAGCAUUUGAAACUGCAUAUCUUGAGAAGAGUAGAGGUAAGUGGAAUUUUUAGUGUAGAGGUGAAAUGCGUAGAUAUUAAAAAGAAUACCGGUGGCGAAGGCGACUUACUGGGCUCAUUCUGACGCUGAGGAACGAAAGCGUGGGUAGCAAACAGG
rnacentral:rRNA from 3 species